rnacentral:rRNA from 1 species
UACAGAGGUCUCAACCGUUGUUCGGAUUCAUUGGGCGUAAAGGGUGCGUAGGCGGUCGCGCAAGUCGGAUGUGAAAUCUUAGGGCUCACCCUGAAACUGCAUUCGAUACUGCGUGGCUAGAGUGCUGGGAGGGGAGACUGGAAUUCCUGGUGUAGCGGUGAAAUGCGCAGAUAUCAGGAAGAACCACCCGUGGCGAAGGCGGCUCUCUGGGACGGUACUGACGCUGAGACGCGAAAGCGUGGGGAGCGAACAGGAU